AAGCGAGGCCGUGAGGCGGAGCAAAUCCCAAAAAUAACGUCUCAGUUCGGAUUGUAGUCUGCAACUCGACUACAUGAAGCUGGAAUCGCUAGUAAUCGCGAAUCAGAAUGUCGCGGUGAAUACGUUCCCGGGUCUUGUACACACCGCCCGUCACACCAUGGGAGUCGGAAAUGCCCGAAGUCCGUAGCCUGACCGCAAGGGGGGCGCGGCCGAAGGUGGGUUCGAUAAUUGGGGUGAAGUCGUAACAAGGUAAC
rnacentral:rRNA from 1 species